rnacentral:rRNA from 1 species
UACAGAGGUCUCAAGCGUUGUUCGGAUUUAUUGGGCGUAAAGGGCGCGUAGGCGGCGGGGUAAGUCGGGUGUGAAAUCUCAGGGCUCAACCCUGAAACUGCACUUGAUACUGCUCUGCUUGAGGACUGGAGAGGAGACUGGAAUUCACGGUGUAGCAGUGAAAUGCGUAGAUAUCGUAAGGAAGACCAGUGGCGAAGGCGGGUCUCUGGACAGUUCCUGACGCUGAGGCACGAAGGCCA